rnacentral:rRNA from 1 species
AUUGAACGCUGGCGGCAGGCCUAACACAUGCAAGUCGAACGGUAACAGGAAACAGCUUGCUGUUUCGCUGACGAGUGGCGGACGGGUGAGUAAUGUCUGGGAAACUGCCUGAUGGAGGGGGAGAACUACUGGAAACGGUAGCUAAUACCGCAUAACGUCGCAAGACCAAAGAGGGGGACCUUCGGGCAUCUUGCCAUCGGAUGAGCCCAGAUGGGGUUAGCUAGUAGGUGGGGUAACGGCUCACCUAGACGACGAGCCCUAGCUGGUCUGAGAGGAUGACCAGCCACACUGGAACUGAGACACGGUCCAGACUCCUACGGGAGGCAGCAGUGGGGAAUAUUGCACAAUGGGCGCAAGCCUGAUGCAGCCAUGCCGCGUGUAUGAAGAAGGCCUUCGGGUUGUAAAGUACUUUCAGCGGGGAGGAAGGGAGUAAAGUUAAUACCUUUGCUCAUCGACGUUACCCGCAGAAGAAGCACCGGCUAACUCCGUGCCAGCCGCCGCCGUAA